rnacentral:rRNA from 1 species
UACAAUGCGAAGCGAAGCAGCGAUGUGAAGCAAAUCGCACCAAAGCCGGUCCCAGUUCGGAUAAGAGGCUGAAACUCGCCUCUUUGAAGUCGGAAUCGCUAGUAAUCGCAGAUCAGCAUGUUGCGGUGAAUACGUUUCCUGGUCUUGUACACACCGCCCGUCAAACCAUGAGAGUCGCCAACACCCGAAGUCCGCUUUGCGGCCUAAGGUGGGGGAGAUGAUUGGGGUUAAGUCGUAACAAGGUACC